rnacentral:rRNA from 1 species
UACGUAGGCGGAAAAUUAAGUCAGUAGUGAAAUCCUGCAGCUUAACUGUAGAACUGUUAUUGAUACUGGUUUUCUUGAAUAUAGUUGAGGUAGGCGGAAUGUGUAAUGUAGCGGUGAAAUGCUUAGAUAUUACACAGAACACCGAUUGCGAAGGCAGCUUACUAAGCUAUGAUUGACGCUGAGGUACGAAAGCGUGGGGAGCGAAUAGGAUUAGAUACCCUGGUAGUCC